CUUCUUUUGGCCCUUCAGCCUCUGGGUAGCUCUUUCUAGCUUAUUUUGCUCCAUUUGAAUCCGUGGUUUUGCGUCUUCUGUUUCCAGUGUGGUUUUGUUCGAGGAAAUUCUCCUUCCUCCCUUGCUGUGCUUGCUGCUCCGCCGCCUCAAUCGCAGCGCUGUUUUUGAGGCUCCGUGCGUCUGUGAUACAGACACAGGCGCUGGCGGGAAGAAGUGCUGAAGGAGGAGGCUGGCCUGGCCACUCGGGAGAUGCAGCGCAUAAUGUCUCUCCAGCAGGGAGCUCUGAUUACCAUGCAGAGGAAAGAGACACAGAUGGUGGAAGGCAAGAACUCUCUCCAAGUUGCCCUGCAGGAAGAGCCUGCUGCUCUAAAGGUGGAGGCUUGGACUCUACAGCAAGAGGUGGCAUCUUUGGAAAGGGAGCUCAGAGUCUGAGAAACAGAGAAAGGAUGUCGUGCACGAACAGGACAGCCUGGAAGCACUGAAGAAAAGCUGCUUGGUGAGAUAAACCUUCUUCAGGAAUCACUCACAGCCUCUGAAACUCAAGCAGAUGCAGCGACAGAUAGGAAUCGCUACCUCAAACAAGAACUGCAGACCACACUGUCUGUCUUAAAAGUUAAAAGUGAGGAAGUGGAAACACAGUGGGAGAAGCUCCAGAAAGAGGCAGCAGAAGCAAAAGCUUUGCAGGAGACCCUCACUCACGUGACUGCUGUCCUGUCAGACAGAGAGGGAGAAAUGAUGUUGUACCAGCAACAGAUGAAACACACUGGAAAACUGCAUCAAAGCACUCUUGAUCAGGCUCUUAAAGACAUAAGAGAGAAAAACCAGGUGACAGAAUCCCAGCAAGAACAGAUACAGGAGCUGGAGAAGGAGCGAGAAACACAAAGGACAGUUAUGAGCAGGAUGAGCAAAGAGCUGGAGGAGAGGGACCAGGAGAUCAAAUUCCUGGAGGAGAAAAUAACAGAUCUGGAAACAGCACGGUGCCUCACAAGUGAGAAACCUGCUCGUGGAUCUUGAUCGAAUGAAAGGAGACUUGAAGGAGGAAAAACACGGGCUUGUGUCUCUGAGCCAGCAGAUCCAAGAACUGGGAAAGUAGAGAGAAGAGGUGCAAUUUCUGCACGCAAGCCUCGAACACCUGAGAGCAGCUUCUUAAGGACAGAGAGAGUGAGUGUGAUUCUCAAAGGGAUCAGAUAAGAUUCUUCCAGCAGUACAAAGAGUAGCAAGAGGCGCCUGCAAGAGCUUCACGGUGAAGUAGGAAAAAUGUCCCUUUAUCUAUAAAAGACAAAGAGCUUGAGUGGCAACAAAAGCAAAUCCAGGAAGCCGGAGAAGCCAUGGAAAACAGCUAAGGAGUGUCCGUGACCAGCUGGAGCGGGAGCUUAGAAGCCCUUAAAAGAAAAGGACAGACUCCUUGACAUCCAAGAGCAACAAAGAAGGAGCCAUGAGGAAAAAACAGAAGAGCAGAUGAAUGCCUUACAGAGAAACUUAGAAUGCAUUGAGGUGAUGCUGGAAGAAAAGGAUUUCAUGAUUGAAUCACAGAAGGGAGUGAUUGAAGUCUUCCAGAAACAAGAACAAGAACAGCAAAGAAGAAUCCUGCAGCGUCUUCAAGUGGCACUAAAAGGAACGAGAGCAAGAAAUUGUAUUCCCUCCGAAAGGAACUUGAGGUAUGCAAGGAAAGGAAGAACUGCACGAAGCUGAGCAGACAAAUCUUCAGGCAACAAAGGCUGAGUCUGGAAGAAAGAGAAACAAAGAUCAGGGUUCUGGAGGAGGCGCUCUCUAAGCUUCAACAGCAAAAGGAGGAGACAGUGAUGCAGACCAAAGCCCUACUGCAAAAACUAGAAGAUGCUGAGUCUUCGCUAGAAGCUAGAGGUCAAGAGAUGGUGUCCUUGCAAAAGCGUG